UCCCAGGGAUGUGAAAAGAACUUGGGGCAUCUGUGGAAAACCCACAUGAUCUCUGGAAGAAUGGGCAAAAUCCUCACAGACAGCACCGAAGGUCAAGAGAAGCCACACUGUCAGCGGUGUGAGGCAGCGCAAUACCACUGAACCACAUUUCUUUACAUAGCUGCUUUCAUGAAGUGAGACCAAAAAGCGCUAAUUCUUUCAAAUCAGAUUGACAGCCAUUGGAACAAUGAAGAAAGAGGUCUGGACUCAAGGUGAACAAAAUGUUCUCUAAUCUGCAAGGGGAAGAUGAAUAUGGAACCCUAUUUACUGGUCUCC